CAUGUACUCCCUCCGUUCCGAAUUACUUGUCUUAGAUUUGUCUAGAUACGGAGGUAUCUAGCACUAAAAUGAGUCUAGAUACAUCCGUAUCUAGACAAAUCCAAGACAAGUAAUUCGGAACGGAAGGAGUACACG
rnacentral:pre_miRNA from 1 species